AGCACUGAGGGAUCAUCAUGGACAUCAGGCCCAGAGCCAUGAAGGACACCACCUGAAACAGACACAUUCAGUGUCUCUAUUAUUUCUGUUUCUAAUGGACAUGGCUGCCUGUUUCAUAGGCCACAGCUGCAAACUUCGGAACAGCAGAACAGGAAGACCAAACGCAUAUAAGUCAGACCCUCCCACUCCCCUCAGUCCGGACCCCCAAAUCAGAUCCAAAACAUUUAACCGCCCUCUGAAGUCUUUUCUGAACUUGUGAAAUAUUUGCUCUGCUUUGAAGGGCUCUACAUUCAUAAUGACCAUAGGAUAGGCAUGUUUAGGGAUACAGAGAGGCCAUACAGGAGAGGUUUCCUGAGGUGGUCGAGCCAAUACAAAGACCGGGGCUGUGUUUACAUCUGGCCCCGGGCCUGAAACAACAGGCCUGACAGAGGGAGGCCGGAGCUGGAACAUCCGACAUCUGGAUAGAGGGAGAUCAACUUCACAGCUCCACGCUGCAGCUUUACACAUCAUCCUCAUCCUUCACUAUCUCACCAUUUCACACCAAAGUCGACCAUAUGUCAACAUUUUUUUAAAAUACCAUGAAUUUUGGAUUCCAAUUAUCAUGAAAAGCAAAGUUACUGUGCUUUAAAAUCACAUUUUCCCUUUUUUACGGUAAAAAAUAAACAGUGUUAUUUUACCUAGCCUGCAAACUGGCAUUAGAGGUGCACUUUUCGCCAGAAUGUUUGUUUGGUCGCUCGUUUAACAAGCUUAGGUGCCUGUCAAUCAUAAUUCACAUAAAUCACAAUAUUUUGAAAAAAAGUCAGAUAAUCGUGUGUCUGACACACUGAUUAACUGACUUUUUUUCAAAAUAUUGUACCCUUUUAACUUAACAUAACCCAAUUCAGGGUAGGAGCAAAUACACGUGUGUACUUAUAAUUUGA